rnacentral:rRNA from 1 species
ACUCAAAUGAAUUGACGGGGACCCGCACAAGCAGUGGAGCAUGUGGUUUAAUUCGAUGCAACGCGAAGAACCUUACCCAGACUUGACAUACACAGGAAGAGUGCAGAGAUGUGCUCGUUCGCAAGAACUUGUGUACAGGUGCUGCAUGGCUGUCGUCAGCUCGUGCCGUGAGGUGUUGGGUUAAGUCCCGCAACGAGCGCAACCCUUAUCGUUAGUUGCCAACAGGUAAUGCUGGGAACUCUAGCGAGACUGCCUGGGUUAACCAGGAGGAAGGUGAGGAUGACGUCAAGUCCGCAUGGCCCUUACGUCUGGGGCUACACACGUGCUACAAUGGGAUGAAACAAAGGGUAGCGAAACCGCGAGGUGGAGCCAAUCUCCAAAACAUCCCCCAGUUCAGAUUGUAGUCUGCAACUCGACUACAUGAAGCCGGAAUUGCUAGUAAUGGCGUGUCAGCAACAGCGCCGUGAAUACGUUCCCGGGUCUUGUACACACCGCCCGU